rnacentral:rRNA from 1 species
UACGUAGGGUGCAAGCGUUGUCCGGAAUUAUUGGGCGUAAAGAGCGUGUAGGCGGCCCCAUUAGUCCGCUGUGAAAGUCCAGGGCUCAACCCUGGAAUGCCGGUGGAUACUGUGGGGCUAGAGUCCGGAAGAGGAGAGUGGAAUUCCUGGUGUAGCGGUGAAAUGCGCAGAUAUCAGGAAGAACACCCGUGGCUAAGGCGGCUCUCUAGUACGGUACUGACGCUGAGACGCGAAAGCGUGGGGAGCGAACAGG